CCUACGGGAGGCAGCAGUGAGGAAUAUUGCACAAUGGGCGCAAGCCUGAUGCAGCGACGCCGCGUGGAUGAUGAAGGCCUUCGGGUUGUAAAGUCCUUUUGCCACUGACGAGAACGGACGGUAGGUGGCGAAUAAGCCCCGGCUAACUACGUGCCAGCAGCCGCGGUAAAACGUAGGGGGCGAGCGUUAUCCGGAGUUACUGGGCGUAAAGGGUGUGUAGGCGGUGCUAUAAGUGGGGUGUGAAACACUCAGGCUAAACCUGGGAGGUGCGCCUCAGACUGUAGGACUAGAGUGGGAUAGAGGGGCGUGGAAUUCCGGGUGGAGCGGUGAAAUGUGUAGAGAUCCGGAGGAACACCAGAGGCGCAAGCGGCGCCCUGGGUCCCAACUGACGCUGAAACACGAAAGCUUGGGGAGCGAACGGGAUUAGAGACCCCGGUAGUCCAAGCCGUAAACGAUGCAAACUCGAUGUCCACUCCCGCAAGGGAGGGGGCGUCACAGCUAACGCGAUAAGUUUGCCGCCUGGGGAGUACGGUCGCAAGACUAAAACUCAAAGGAAUUGACGGGGGCCCGCACAAGUAGCGGAGCGUGUGGUUUAAUUCGAGGCUACACGAAGAACCUUACCCGGGUUUGACAUAGGCGUAGUAGGGAAGCGAAAGCUGACCGACCCGUAAGGGAGCGUCUACAGGUGCUGCAUGGCUGUCGUCAGCUCGUGUCGUGAGAUGUUCGGUUAAGUCCGAAAACGAGCGCAACCCCCGGUGCCAGUUACACGUGUCUGGCGCGACUGCCCGCGAGAAGCGGGAGGAAGGUGGGGAUGACGUCAAGUCAGCAUGGCCUUUAUAUCCGGGGCUACACACACGCUACAAUGGUCGGUACAGUGGGUUGCGAGACCGCGAGGUGGAGCCAAUCCCCCAAGCCGAUCUAAGUUCGGAUUGUACGCUGCAACUCGCCUGCAUGAAGCCGGAGUUGCUAGUACCGCCAUCAGCC
rnacentral:rRNA from 1 species